UCGAGAAUAAUUCGCAAUGGGCGAAAGCCUGACGAUGCGACGCCGUGUGAACGAUGAAGGCCUUCGGGUCGUAAAGUUCUGUCGACCUGGAACAAGGGUAUCGUGUAAAUAACAUGAUAUUUUGAUUGUACAGGAGGAGGAAGCACCGGCUAACUCCGUGCCAGCAGCUGCGGUAAUACGGAGGGUGCAAGCGUUAAUCGGAAUUACUGGGCGUAAAGGGUGCGUAGGCUGGGAGAUAAGUCAGAUGUGAAAUUCCAAAGCUCAACUUUGGAGCUGCAUCUGAAACUGUCUUUCUUGAGGGAUGGCGGAGAAAACGGAAUUCCACGUGUAGCGGUGAAAUGCGUAGAUAUGUGGAAGAACAUCUGUGGCGAAAGCGGUUUUCUAGCUUAAACCUGACGCUGAGGCACGAAAGCAAGGGGAGCAAACAGG
rnacentral:rRNA from 1 species